rnacentral:rRNA from 1 species
CUACGGGUGGCUGCAGUGGGGAAUAUUGCACAAUGGAGGAAACUCUGAUGCAGCAACGCCGCGUGGAGGAUGACACUUUUCGGAGCGUAAACUCCUUUUAUAUAGGAAGAAGAUGACGGUACUAUAUGAAUAAGCGCCGGCUAACUCCGUGCCAGCAGCCGCGGUAAUACGGAGGGCGCAAGCGUUACUCGGAAUCACUGGGCGUAAAGAGCGUGUAGGCGGAUUAAAAAGUCAGAAGUGAAAUCCUAUAGCUUAACUAUAGAACUGCUUCUGAAACUCUUAAUCUAGAAUAUGGGAGAGGUAGAUGGAAUUUCUGGUGUAGGGGUAAAAUCCGUAGAGAUCAGAAGGAAUACCGAUUGCGAAGGCGAUCUACUAGAACAUUAUUGACGCUGAGACGCGAAAGCGUGGGGAGCAAACAGGAUUAGAUACCCCUGUAGUC